GUCGAGAAUAAUUCACAAUGGACGAAAGUCUGAUGGUGCAACGCCGCGUGGAGGAUGACGGUCUUCGGAUUGUAAACUCCUGUCAUCCGGGAGUAAGACCUGGCUGUGAAUAGCAGACAGGGUUGAUAGUACCGGAAGAGGAAGGGACGGCUAACUUCGUGCCAGCAGCCGCGGUAAUACGAAGGUCCCGAGCGUUGUUCGGAAUCACUGGGCGUAAAGGGAGCGUAGGCGGCGUGGUAAGUCAGAUGUGAAAUCCCUGGGCUCAACCCCGGAACUGCAUCCGAUACUGCCGUGCUAGAGGAUUGGAGAGGUAGCUGGAAUUCUUGGUGUAGCAGUGAAAUGCGUGGAGAUCAAGAGGAACACUCGUGGCGAAAGCGAGCUACUGGACAAUAUCUGACGCUGAGGCUCGAAGGCCAGGGUAGCGAAAGGGAUUAGAUACCCUUGUAGUCC
rnacentral:rRNA from 1 species